GUGAGCGGAAACGAGUUAUCUGAACCUUCGGGGAACGAUAACGGCGUCGAGCGGCGGACGGGUGAGUAAUGCCUAGGAAAUUGCCCUGGUGUGGGGGAUAACCAUUGGAAACGAUGGCUAAUACCGCAUAAUACCUUCGGGUCAAAGAGGGGGACCUUCGGGCCUCUCGCGUCAGGAUAUGCCUAGGUGGGAUUAGCUAGUUGGUGAGGUAAUGGCUCACCAAGGCGACGAUCCCUAGCUGGUCUGAGAGGAUGAUCAGCCACACUGGAACUGAGACACGGUCCAGACUCCUACGGGAGGCAGCAGUGGGGAAUAUUGCACAAUGGGCGCAAGCCUGAUGCAGCCAUGCCGCGUGUGUGAAGAAGGCCUUCGGGUUGUAAAGCACUUUCAGUCGUGAGGAAGGUAGUGUACUUAAUAGCUGCAUUAUUUGACGUUAGCGACAGAAGAAGCACCGGCUAACUCCGUGCCAGCAGCCGCGGUAAUACGGAGGGUGCGAGCGUUAAUCGGAAUUACUGGGCGUAAAGCGCAUGCAGGUGGUUUGUUAAGUCAGAUGUGAAAGCCCGGGGCCUCACCUCGGAAUAUCAUUUGAGACUGGCAGACUAAAGUACUGUAGAGGGGGG
rnacentral:rRNA from 1 species